AAGCGCUUGCAACCAGACUUGGGCUGUCGCAAUCAUCCGGGGCUCGCCCCGGUGCACUUGUGGCGGCACAGGCCAGCAUCAGUUUCGGUGGUGGGAUAAAGGCCUUGGGAAUGUAGCUUCUUUCGGGGAGUGUUAUAGCCCUCGGUGCAAUGCCGCCUACCGGGACUGAGGACCGCGCUUCGGCGAGGAUGCUGGCGUAAUGGUUGUAAGCGA
rnacentral:rRNA from 1 species